UCUUAAGUCCAAAUUCCUUUUUGCGUGUUCCUUGUAGAUAUUAGAAGCACCCUGCCUUUUGUUUAUAUGUAUAUUAUUUAUUUACACUUUGCCGUAUUGUCGUUGUGAUCGUGAAUACUAACUAGCAUGGAUCCCAAUUAGCCUUGAGCUAGGGAUCCAGAUGUUUAUACAAUAUUUCAUGUGUACUUUUCCUAUUUGAAUAAACUUGAACUUAAACUUGAAUAUACGCAUCGAAGAGCCUGCGAUGGUCAGGAUAGACAAUCGGGCAAGUUGGUAGGGUAAUAUGCUUUGUUGCAACGCAAAAAAGACACAGGCAAGAAAUGCUUUUCUUCUGUUUCUUGCCUACAUCUGCAUCUUUUCGCAUUGCAAUGAAGUACGCGAUGGUGAAGUCCAAAAAUGCAGGGCAGGUUACAAUGAUGUGCUCAAUUGUCACGGCAACUGUGGCUACAGUCCAGUUCUGCUCCUUGGUCACUCAGUCAACCACAGUGCGUGUGAACUUUACUUUGCCACACCAAAUUGCACAACAUCAAUUCCUGUGGCUCAAUGGUCUUGCUUUCCACUUUGCAAUGAGUCAGGCAUACGGCACAGCUUGGCUCCGACAAGCACUCGUGUAUUUGUACAGAAGCAUGACAUAACAUCGGCCUGUACACAGCUGUCAAAGUGAAAACACAAACAAACAAGAACAUAUCGAAGUCAGCCGAGGACAAAACAAAUUGUCCGGCUGCGAUGCUACAAAAUAUACAAUAAUAAUUCCAACAAGAGAUGGGGGAGGGAAGAGGGGCGUGUGAAAAGUUGCAUCGAGAAAUAGUGCAUAUAGUACCUUGGCAAGAGAAGGAGGAGCCAACUAAACAGUGACCAACGAAUGUGUCGGCAGCGCGUCCAAUGCAUUAAUUGAGCACGUCGUCCUCGGCGGUGGGACUGCAGACAGACCUACGUCAGAAGUUUAUUUCUCAUUGCUUUGUGAGCAAGUGACAGGCACCUUGUCUUCGAGGCUGAAGCGUGAUCGGCGCUGCUUUCAGGAGAGGGAGAGACCGCUGAAUAAGCAGACACUUUCGGCACCAUUCGUACUCUUAAGAAUAGUUGGUCGUGUUUCCGGUUUGUUCAGUGUAUGUAUUUCAUACAUCGCGCUGGCCCAUUCUCCACGAGAAAUAAGUGCUCUUCCACGCGGCAGCAGCCAGACAAAACCAGCUCAGUUGGGUUCCACAGGAGGACUUCUGUCAACCAACCCAUGAGCUACUUCAGGACAACAACCUCAGUUCAGGGCCAUCAGACUGCAAAGCUGCAACAAUGCUGAUCCUUACUUUUGAAAACUAUUACGACCUGCAGGAAAGGCUGCCAAUACAAGUUGCGGGCAAACGCGGCUUCCAACAAUGGCCACAAGUCCAGGAGUUGCUGGUGUUCAAAAAUUGCAUACACUUGUCAAUAAAAUUUGGAGUUCAGGUUUCCAAGACUGCUUGGCGUGCAAUACUUUUUAAAAGAGAAGAGCCAAAGGCAAAGCCUCAAGCAGUCCUGGGCAUAACUUCCAAAUAUCAUUCCUGUUCAAAGUCUGUUUGCGACAAGAAGAUUCCAAACUGAGGCUAAACGUUGAGUGCAGCUUGGCCAAAUGUAAAAGAGCCUAUCACUGUGCCGCAGUGAUCAGACGCAAGUUAUGAGAGCCAAACAUGCACGCAAUACAAUUUUGGCUCAAAUUUCAGAGAAUCGACAGUGCAGCACUAUUAUUUUAAGCAGAGAGAGUACGACAGUGGCCGCGGGCACGAAUUCUACACAUUUCAGUCAGCUCCCAGUAGACACACAAGGCGCAAGUGUUGCAAAUUUGUCAUUAUCAACAGCAAAAGUCCUGAUCCACAAUUUGAAUAGGUAGGCAUAGAAAA
rnacentral:lncRNA from 1 species